rnacentral:rRNA from 1 species
CUGCUGCCUCCCGUAGGAGUUUGGGCCGUGUCUCAGUCCCAAUGUGGCCGUUCACCCUCUCAGGCCGGCUACUGAUCGUCGCCUUGGUGGGCCUUUACCCCGCCAACUAGCUAAUACAACGCAUGUCCAUCUCUGACCACCUGAGUUUUCAACCACCGAAGAUGCCUCCGGUGAUGUUAUGGGGUAUUAGUACCAAUUUCUCGAUGUUAUCCCCCUGUCAAAGGUAGGUUACAUACGCGUUACGCACCCGUCCGCCGGUCGCCGG